rnacentral:rRNA from 1 species
CCCCCCACUCUAAUGACCCCUUCCGGUAGGUGAACCUGCGGAAGGAUCAUUACCGAGUGCGGGCCCUCGCGGCCCAACCUCCCACCCUUGUCUCUCUACCCCCUGUUGCUUUGGCGGGCCCACCGGGGCCACCUGGUCGCCGGGGGACGCACGUCCCCGGGCCCGCGCCCGCCGAAGCGCUCUGUGAACCCUGAUGAAGAUGGGCUGUCUGAGUACGAUGAAAAUUGUCAAAACUUUCAACAAUGGAUCUCUUGGUUCCGGCAUCGAUGAAGAACGCAGCGAAAUGCGAUAAGUAAUGUGAAUUGCAGAAUUCCGUGAAUCAUCGAAUCUUUGAACGCACAUUGCGCCCCCUGGCAUUCCGGGGGGCAUGCCUGUCCGAGCGUCAUUUCUGCCCUCAAGCACGGCUUGUGUGUUGGGUGUGGUCCCCCCGGGGACCUGCCCGAAAGGCAGCGGCGACGUCCGUCUGGUCCUCGAGCGUAUGGGGCUCUGUCACUCGCUCGGGAAGGACCUGCGGGGGUUGUCACCACCAUAUUUACCACGUGACCUCGGAUCAGUAGAUACCCGCUGACUA